rnacentral:miRNA from 1 species
UAUGUGUUUUUUUUUGUUUU